UACGGGGGGGGUAAGCGUUGUUCGGAAUUACUGGGCGUAAAGGGCUCGUAGGCGGCCAACUAAGUCAUACGUGAAAUCCCUCAGCUUAACUGGGGAACUGCGUGUGAUACUGGAUGGCUUGGAUUUGGGAGAGGGAUGCGGAAUUCCAGGUGUAGCGGUGAAAUGCGUAGAUAUCUGGAGGAACACCGGUGGCGAAGGCGGCAUCCUGGACCGACACUGACGCUGAGGUGCGAAAGCGUGGGGAGCAAACAGG
rnacentral:rRNA from 1 species